rnacentral:rRNA from 1 species
AUGGUCCCGGCCGUCGCCCCUAUAAAUUCCUCCGUCCCGUCGCCAUGCAUUGCGCAGGUCGAUCAGGAGAUCGAGCAGGUACCGGCCAUGGACUACUACCGCGAGACCUACGGCGGGUACGGGAUGGCGACGCCCGGGUACGCGGCGCCGGUGCCGUACGGCAUGUCGCAGGUGAACAUCGACGGCAACUACGGCGGGAGGCCGAUGCCGCCGCAGCCCACGGUGAAGAUCUACUGCCGCGCCAACCCCAACUACGCCAUGUCCGUCCGCAACGGCAAGGUGGUGCUGGCGCCGGCCAACCCCAAGGACGACUACCAGCACUGGAUCAAGGACAUGAGGUGGAGCACCAGCAUCAAGGACGAGGAGGGCUACCCCGCCUUCGCCAUGGUGAACAAGGCCACCGGGCAGGCCAUCAAGCACUCCCUCGGCCAGUCCCACCCUGUGCGUCUGGUGCCGUACAACCCAGACUACCUGGACGAGUCGGUGCUGUGGACGGAGAGCAGGGACGUGGGCAACGGGUUCAGGUGCGUGCGCAUGGUGAACAACAUCUACCUCAACUUCGACGCCCUCAACGGCGACAAGUACCACGGCGGCGUCCGCGACGGCACCGAGGUCGUGCUCUGGAAGUGGUGCGAGGGCGACAACCAGCGCUGGAAGCUCCAGCCGUACUACUGA